rnacentral:rRNA from 1 species
UACGAAGGGGGCUAGCGUUGCUCGGAAUCACUGGGCGUAAAGCGCACGUAGGCGGACUCUUAAGUCAGGGGUGAAAUCCCAGAGCUCAACUCUGGAACUGCCUUUGAUACUGGGUGUCUUGAGUAUGGAAGAGGUUAGUGGAAUUGCGAGUGUAGAGGUGAAAUUCGUAGAUAUUCGCAGGAACACCAGUGGCGAAGGCGGCUAACUGGUCCAUAACUGACGCUGAGGUGCGAAAGCGUGGGGAGCAAACAGG